CUUGACUCAACCAUAAGAGGUCCAGCCUGCCCAGUGACAUUGUUCAACGGCCGCGGUAUUCUAACCGUGCGAAGGUAGCGUAAUCACUUGUCCUUUAAAUGAGGACUAGUAUGAACGGCCACACGAAAGCUAUGCUGUCUCCUUUUUCUAAUCAGUUAAACUAAUCUCCCCGUGAAGAAGCGGGGAUGAUUAUAUAAGACGAGAAGACCCUAUGGAGCUUUAAACAAUUGAAACACUUGUACCCAUCUUCCACACUUCCGACAGCCUACGCUUAAUUUUACACUUUGUUUCUAGCUUUAGGUUGGGGUGACCACGGAGAAAAAACAAACCUCCACGCUGAAAGAGUUAAUCUCUAAACAAAAAGCUACAUCUUUAAGUAUUAAUACAUUAACCUGAAUUGACCCA
rnacentral:rRNA from 1 species